ACUACAUUCCACUGUACGUUGUCUCUCGUGGCACAACCCGUCGCAGGUUGACGCGAAGCAGCGAACGCGACCAGAUCGCCGAUUACAAUAGGCGGUGGUUCUUGGAUGGAAUCGCAUUCACAGUUUCAACCGCAGCUGGUGCAAUUAAAGCCUCUCUAUCGACGCGAAAGUAAACAAUGCUAAAAAACAUAGCGUCACUUCCACUCGGAACAGGAAGUUGAAGCUACGUAAGUUCCGCUUCACGCCGGAAGUUAAGGGGGUGAGAGGAGAGGAGCGUGGAGGAGGAGGGUAGGUUGGCGGUACUUAGCUUGGCCGGCGGUGGCGCGUAGAUGCAGGGGCUUUAGUCAUCACAAGCGGUCACACAUGCUCAGGUCAGACACAACGUCAGUUCUCGUGUGCCACUGAGUGCAUACGUACCGGAGCAGGGCUCGCUGUGGCGUUGCUAGGUGUCCAUCGCCCCCGCAACCACGGAGCCAACGAGUCGGAGCACGCUGCACCCAGAGGACAGUUCUAAGUGGUCGAGUUCACAACGCUCUUAGCGAUACUGCUGGAUGAUGGCGUGCGCAUAAAGGAGCCGUCUCAUUUCGGAACCAAAGUACAGCGAUAAUGCAGCGCGAAUUAUUAUUUCUUUCUUGGCUACCCCUACCAACCAGACACCCUGGCGCAAGACUUGGCAAAGCUGCGCAAGCCAGCUAUUACGUCAUGAGCAAUGGAGUUGCUUGCUUGAACGCGGCCGUUUCUGCCGAGUUUUUUUUUUAUUACUGUUAUUUCCGUGCGUGUUUCUUCAAGGUCUGGUGUGCGCUUCACGUCAAAUUUUGCGUGACUGAGCCCGCUGCAAUCGUUGGCAAAAGGUGUGAGUGCAGGCUUUUUGUCAUCGGGCAAGUUGACGCUGCGGCAUCCGACGCGCUGGUCUCGUUGCAACCAUAAAUGCCGAACGCCUCGCGAAAGAAGGUCGCGCCACGUUCGUUCCCUCUCGUUAACACAUGGUCUGAGCGUCCGAAGCGCAGCAAGAUUAGUGAGUGGAAUGUUUCCUAAAUGCAAUAUUACCUUGUCUGAUAACUGUUCUAUAUGAAUACGUGGUGUGGCACAGGAUUACAAAUGAUUCUGUCAAAAGGAUUCGCAUAUGUUGCUAUGCAUUAUGACUGUUUCCUGGCCUUAGUACGUUUCAUCACUGAAACAUGUUUUAUUAGCUCAUUUCUAUUUGUUGCAUUAUUAAACACGUAUAAAAGUGAAGCUGAUUUUGAAA